GAUGAACGCUGGCGGCGUGCCUAAUACAUGCAAGUCGAGCGAACAGACGAGGAGCUUGCUCCUCUGACGUUAGCGGCGGACGGGUGAGUAACACGUGGAUAACCUACCUAUAAGACUGGGAUAACUUCGGGAAACCGGAGCUAAUACCGGAUAACAUGUUGAACCGCAUGGUUCAACAGUGAAAGACGGUCUUGCUGUCACUUAUAGAUGGAUCCGCGCCGCAUUAGCUAGUUGGUAAGGUAACGGCUUACCAAGGCAACGAUGCGUAGCCGACCUGAGAGGGUGAUCGGCCACACUGGAACUGAGACACGGUCCAGACUCCUACGGGAGGCAGCAGUAGGGAAUCUUCCGCAAUGGGCGAAAGCCUGACGGAGCAACGCCGCGUGAGUGAAGAAGGUCUUCGGACCGUAAAACUCUGUUAUUAGGGAAGAACAAAUGUGUAAGUAACUAUGCACGUCUUGACGGUACCUAAUCAGAAAGCCACGGCUAACUACGUG
rnacentral:rRNA from 1 species